GUUGGUGAUGGACAGGGAGGCCUGGUGUGCUGCAAUUCAUGGCGUCGCAAGGAGUCGUACAUGACUGAGCAACUGAACUGAACUGAACUGAACUGAACUAUAUCUGAAUACCUGCCUGUGGAGGGACAAAUGUAAGUCUGGAAAGAGUGUUUGCACUUUAUCAUCUUUGGAAAAGCAAGCAUUAGAAGAAUGGGAAUCUGCAGUAAUACAUUAUUUAUGUUAAGCUACCAACAGAUCCUUAGUUUCUCCUGGUUGUUUUAGAGUUGAAAAAACAUACUUUGCGUGUGUGACAUUUGUUACAAGAUAAUGCCAAGUAACUGUUAGAAAAAUUUACAUUUAGGUAUAAAAAUUUAAACGUAUGCCCCUUUUUUACAAGCUCUGUAUGCUCUAAAUGUGUGACGGGAUACUGGGUGCCACCGAUCUGCAGUGAAUCCUUAAACCCUUUGAAGUAGGUUCAGUUCAUUCAUGAAGAGCAGCAGGGGUUAAGAGCAAAUUAGUGAUGUGUUGUUCCCAUGUUCUCUCUCCAAAGGACUUGGUGAAUUUCAUCGAAGCAAAUUUUAAGAAACGGGAGUGCGUCUUCUUUACCAAAGAUUCCAAGGCCACGGAGAAUGUGUGCAAGUGUGGCUACGCCCAGAACCAACACAUAGAAGGCACCCAGGUCAACCAAAACGAGAAAUGGAAUUACAAGAAACACACAAAGGAACUUCCCACCGAUGCUUUCGGAGAUAUUCAGUUUGAGACUCAGGGGAAGAAAGGGAAGUAUAUCCGACUGUCCUGCGACACGGACGCGGAAACGCUGUACGAGCUGCUGACCCAGCACUGGCACCUGAAAACACCCAACCUGGUCAUUUCCGUGACUGGCGGCGCCAAAAACUUCGCCCUGAAGCCGCGCAUGCGCAAGAUCUUCAGCCGCCUGAUCUACAUCGCGCAGUCGAAAGGUGCGUGGAUUCUCACUGGAGGCACCCACUAUGGGCUGAUGAAGUUCAUCGGGGAGGUGGUGAGAGAUAACACCAUCAGCAGGAAUUCGGAGGAGAACAUUGUGGCCAUUGGCAUCGCCGCUUGGGGCAUGGUCUCCAACAGGGACACCCUCAUCAGGAAUUGUGAUGUGGAGGUAUGGGCAGGAUAUGAGGAGGUCUGCGGG
rnacentral:lncRNA from 1 species